CCUACGGGUGGCAGCAGUGGGGAAUAUUGCACAAUGGGGGAAACCCUGAUGCAGCGACGCCGCGUGAGUGAAGAAGUAAUUCGUUAUGUAAAGCUCUAUCAGCAGGGAAGAAAAUGACGGUACCUGAGUAAGAAGCCCCGGCUAACUACGUGCCAGCAGCCGCGGUAAUACGUAGGGGGCAAGCGUUAUCCGGAUUUACUGGGUGUAAAGGGAGCGUAGACGGCAGUGCAAGUCUGGAGUGAAAGGCGGGGGCUCAACCCCCGGACUGCUCUGGAAACUGUUUCCCUUGAGUGUCGGAGAGGUAAUCGGAAUUCCUUGUGUAGCGGUGAAAUGCGUAGAUAUAAGGAAGAACACCAGUGGCGAAGGCGGAUUACUGGACGAUAACUGACGGUGAGGCGCGAAAGCGUGGGGAGCAAACAGGAUUAGAUACCCGAGUAGUC
rnacentral:rRNA from 1 species